rnacentral:tRNA from 1 species
GCUUCCGUAGCUCAGUUGGUUAGAGCUUCGUACCAAUACACGUUAGUGAUGCGGAGGCCGCAGGUUCAAGCCCUGCCGGGAGCA